rnacentral:rRNA from 1 species
UACGAAGGGGGCUAGCGUUGCUCGGAAUUACUGGGCGUAAAGCGUGCGCAGGCGGCGCCGCAAGUCAGGCGUGAAAUCCCCGAGCUUAACUUGGGAAUGGCGCUUGAAACUACGGUGCUGGAGUGUGGCAGAGGGAGGUGGAAUUCCACGUGUAGCGGUGAAAUGCGUAGAGAUGUGGAGGAACACCGAUGGCGAAGGCAGCCUCCUGGGCCAACACUGACGCUCAUGCACGAAAGCGUGGGGAGCAAACAGG